rnacentral:tRNA from 1 species
GCCCCGGUGGUGUAGCCCGGCCAAUCAUAGUGGCCUCUCGAGCCACAGACGCGGGUUCAAAUCCCGCCCGGGGCACCA